rnacentral:rRNA from 1 species
UACGGGGGGAGCAAACGUUGUUCGGAAUUACUGGGCGUAAAGGGCGCGUAGGCGGUCCUGUAAGUGGUGUGUGAAAUCCGAUGGCUCAACCAUCGAGCUGCGCUCCAUACUGCAGGACUUGAGUACAGCAGAGGAAAGUGGAAUUCCCGGUGUAGCGGUGAAAUGCGCAGAUAUCAGGAGGAACACCAGUGGCGAAGGCGGGUUGCUGGGCUGACACUGACGCUGAUGCGCGAAAGCUAGGGGGAGCGAACGGG